UCGAGCGUCAUUACAACCCUCAAGCAAUGCUUGGUAUUGGGCUCUGCCGCUGACCCGGCGGGCCCUAAAACCAGUGGCGGUGCCGUCGAGGCCCUGAGCGCAGUAAACAUCCUCGCUAUAGGGACCCGGCGGUCGCUGGCCACCAACCCCCACCUUCUAAGUUUGACCUCGGAUCAGGUAGGGAUACCCGCUGAACUUAA
rnacentral:misc_RNA from 1 species